CCUUCCUCCAUCAUUUCGGCAACUAGACUUCCUGGUUGUGCAGAGGGCUGUUGUCUGGGACAGUGAUCUGUAUAAGCCUUUCCGCUUUCCACUGGAGACAGUCUUUCAGCCUCAAUGGCCUUUCAGGAUCUUUGGAUUGACUCAGAAGCAUGGGAAGAUUCCAGAUCCUUCAGAUAGCUUUCCUUCUAAUCUGCAAUGUCACAGUGGCUCCUCAGACUCUUUUGGAGAACUUCACUGCAGCCAUGCCUGGUUAUCGCUGCUGGAUUCACAUCCUUGACAAUGACACUGUAUCUGACAUUAACAGUGGUAUCCUGAGCCAAGAUGACCUCCUGAGGAUCUCAGUCCCACUGACUCCAACCCGAGGCCAGAGAAGUGUCGUUGCUUUGUCCAACCACAGUGGCAUCUCCUUCAUUUGAAUGGCACCUUCUCUGGCAAUACUUGAAUUCUUGCUCUCACUGUUUUUGAGGAUGAACUGUUACAUGGAAAUAAGAGGGAAAUAAAAAAUUUUCUUCGCAAGUUGCUUGUCAUACAGGUCUUCCACUUGUUUGGUUAGAGUUACUCAGAGAUAUUUUACUCUAUUUGAAGCUAUAUGAAGGGUGAUGUUUCUCUGAUUUCAUUCUCAGCCCAUUUAUCACUUGUGUAAUGGAGGGAUACUGAUUUUUUCUUUUGCGUUAAACUUGUAUCCUUCUACAUUACCAAAAGUAUUUAUGAGUUAUAGAAGAUCCUCAGUAGAAUUUAUGGGGUUAAUUAUGUAAACUUUCAUAUCAUCAGCAAAUAGUGAGAGUUUUACUUCUUUUCUGGUUUAUAUCCUCUUGAUCUCCUGUUGUUGUCUUACUGCUCUAGCUAGGACCUCAAAAACUAUAUUGCAUAGAUAUGGAGAAAGUGAACAACCUUGUCUUGUUCCUGACUUCAGUGGAAUCAUUGUGAGUUUCUCUCCAUUUAGUUUGAUGUUAGCUGUUGGCUUGUUUCAUAUUGCCUUUAUUAUGUUUAGGUAUGUUCUUUGUAUCUUUGUUCUCUCCAGGACCUUUAUCAUGAAGGGAUGUUGUAUUUUGUCAAAGGCUUUUCCAACAUCUAAUGAGAUGAUAAUGUGGUUUUUAUUUUUCAGUUUGUUUAUAUGGUGGAUUACAUUGGCAGAUUUUUGUAUAUUGAACCAUCCCCACAUCUCUGGGAUGAAGAUGACUUGAUCAUAGUGAAUGAUUUUUCUGGAUUCGAUUUGCAGAUAUUUUACUAUUUUUUAUUUAUUUUUAAUUAAAAAUUUCCACCUCCUCCCCUCCUCCCAUUUCCCUCCCCCUCUCCCUCCCUCUCCAGUCCAAAGAACAGUCAGGGUUCCCUGCCCUGUGGGAAGUCCAAGGUCCUCCCCCCUCCAUCCAGGUCUAGGAAUGUAAGCAUCCAAACAGACUAGGCUCCCACAAAGCCAGUACAUGCGGUAGGAUCAAAACCCAGUGCCAUUGUCCUCGGCUUCUCAGUCAGCCCUCCUUGUCCGCCACCUUCAGAGAGUCCGGUUUGAUCACAUGUUCCAUCAGUCCCAGUCCAGCUGACUUUGGAGCAGACACUGUGGCCAGCAUGAAGAUCCCCAACAGGAAAGAGAAAAAGAAUUGACUUAUUCUACGGCCAAUCCGAUUCAUCAAAAUCAUUGCAGCAAAAGAGGCUGGGAUGGCUGAUGCAGC